UGAGGUAUCGGCGGAGAUGGAAGAAGCGGAGAGUUUGUUAAACUCGUAAAAAGCAGAGCUAACUGUAAUGGCGAAUUCGUUGUUUAUUCCAAACAACUACUUGGCCAUACCUCCUCCUCGACUGUCCUCGAAAUCCAUUGCUCCUCCUCCCCAAGUUCUUUUUGGGUUUUCAGUAGCCAAAUCUUCCCCUAUAGUCCUACACAGCAGCAGCAGCAGCAGCAGAAGCCGUGCCUCGUCUUUCAAAUCUCAUCUCGCUGCUGCUCGAGGCUAUGUUCCCCCAGCUCUCAAGUCAAGAUAUGAAACCUUCUCAUAGUUUCAGACGCUUUACUUUGCUAAAAGCUAUGUUGGAGGAACUUGAAGCUGUUCAACCACGUAUUGUGUAGAAGCGUAACAAACAAAUAAAGAUUUACAGUGGUUCACUCAAUUUCUGUGAUUCAGAGCAAGUCCAACAGCUUCCUUAUAUUUUCUACAUAAUAGGGAAGCAAAACUCAAAAUCUCUAAAACUUUUGUAUACCAAAUCCAACAGUUUCCCUAUUUUAAAGAUUCAAAUAUUUAUUACAACAACAAUCCUCAUUUAUUACAAUAUAAUAAUAAGUAUAAAAAUAUAAAAGUUUAUUUUUU